AACUGCAGCUCCCCUCCCCCCACAGCCCCGUCUCUCUGCGCUCCCGCCACAUUCCGCUCGCCGCCGCCCACUCGCAGACGCCCAAGUUGCCCCUAACCCCACUUCCUCGGAUUUUUCGCGAUUGAGAGCAGACCCUGCGCCCACUCCCUGCACCCCCCACUGCCUCCGGGUCCCACCACUGCCACCUCCCAAGUCCCGCUCUGCUACUUCUUCAGGCUCUUACCGACUGCGCCAGCCUUGGCGAAGCUCCGCCGACUGCCCUUUGCUCCAAGUAAUUUUUGGUGAUUUUUAAAGUAAUUUUUCCGGCGGAGUCACAGUGGCGCUAUACUCUCGGACAGGUUAUCCUGUCUCUCCCGCUAGAUUGAUGAGAUCAGGCAUCACUCGAAAAUGGCGCCGAAAGCGCUGAGGCUCCUCAUUCAAAUUCGUUAGAGCCAACCCCGCCGCCCCGGGGCAUGCCGGGAACGCGGGCUGCCUCCACAGCUGUCAAUACCGCCUCUUAACCCCCACUUCUCUUGCUUUCCCGACAUUUUCGCGCAUGCGCAAACUCCAACUCUCGCUCUCCUCCCGCCGUGCACAUGCGCAGAAUCAUCGUUGUGCGCGGCUCUCCCUUUGCCUCUACGGUCGCAAUCCUCUUGCUUCUUUUAUUGCGCGUGCGUGUAGCGCUUUUGCAAAGACUCGGAGGUGAAGUGAAGGUAGAGGCUGUGGGGCCGAGGGACCACUUAUAGCUAUCAGCCCACAGGCAUUUAGUCUACGUUGGAGGUAAACAAAUACGGGUCCAGCUUAGGAGAAAAGAAAAACGUCUUACAGCCAGUGUCUAAACUCCAGACAACGGAAUGUAUCAAUGAGACCUUGCAUAUGGAUACACGUGCAUUUAAAACGGCCCCGCCGGCGCGUUGAGCUCUUGCCGUUCGCCAGCGCUUUACAGGGGUUAUCGCACUUAAGCCUCGGAACAACUUUACCAGAUGAGGACACCUGAGGCUCAGAUUAAGAAAUCUGCCCCAAAGUCUUAGAACUGUUAUUCUACCAGAAAGCAAUGAAGAAUUGAGUCACAAUGCAGACAAAUAUCAUAUGGGAGAUUAUUGCAAGGAAGAGAUUGAUGAUAGUAUUUUCUACUAGCCAUUGGGAAGAUAAAAGGAGACAGAAGAUUGAAGUCUUUUCCAGCCAUUCUUUCCCUUUUUGCUUUCAAACUCCUCAACGGGGAACCUUCAUAUGUGCAGUAUUUAUAUUGGAUCACACUGAUGAUUAUAAAGGUUCCUAGGAGGCUAGAAGCCAACCAACAGAGAAGGGAAAGCAGUCUGUUCUGAACAUAGGGACAUAAGUUCAUUCAUGCCAUGUAUCUUUUCAGCAUGUUUCUCCCACUUAGAAACAUCUAGCAUGUAAGGCCUUUUAAUAUUAAUAUAAGCCCAAUACCAGCUCUUUCCCUUUGUAUUUCAUCUCUUUCUGCUCUCCUAUUUGUAUUUUGUGUUCCUAUCAAAGUGUCAUAUCUGGGAGAUGACCUGCCUGUUCCUGUUCUAUAACAGUUUUGUUUGCUGCUAUGCCUCUAGAACAGUGCCUGGCACACAGUAAGCACUCAAUAAACCUUUGCUGAAUGAA